rnacentral:rRNA from 1 species
GGGCUCACGGCCUAUCAGCUUGUUGGUGAGGUAAUGGCUUACCAAGGCGACGACGGGUAGCCGGCCUGAGAGGGUGACCGGCCACACUGGGACUGAGACACGGCCCAGACUCCUACGGGAGGCAGCAGUGGGGAAUAUUGCACAAUGGGCGCAAGCCUGAUGCAGCGACGCCGCGUGAGGGAUGACGGCCUUCGGGUUGUAAACCUCUGUUAGCAUCGAAGAAGCGAAAGUGACGGUAGGUGCAGAGAAAGCGCCGGCUAACUACGUGCCAGCAGCCGCGGUAAUACGUAGGGCGCGAGCGUUGUCCGGAAUUAUUGGGCGUAAAGAGCUUGUAGGCGGUUGGUCGCGUCUGCUGUGAAAGGCUGGGGCUUAACCCUGGUUUUGCAGUGGGUACGGGCUAACUAGAGUGCAGUAGGGGAGACUGGAAUUCCUGGUGUAGCGGUGGAAUGCGCAGAUAUCAGGAGGAACACCGAUGGCGAAGGCAGGUCUCUGGGCUGUAACUGACGCUGAGAAGCGAAAGCAUGGGGAGCGAACAGGAUUAGAUACCCUGGUAGUCCAUGCCGUAAACGUUGGGCACUAGGUGUGGGGGACAUUCCACGUUUUCCGCGCCGUAGCUAACGCAUUAAGUGCCCCGCCUGGGGAGUACGGCCGCAAGGCUAAAACUCAAAGAAAUUGACGGGGGCCCGCACAAGCGGCGGAGCAUGCGGAUUAAUUCGAUGCAACGCGAAGAACCUUACCAAGGCUUGACAUAUACUGGACUGCGUCAGAGAUGGCGUUUCCCUUCGGGGCUGGUAUACAGGUGGUGCAUGGUUGUCGUCAGCUCGUGUCGUGAGAUGUUGGGUUAAGUCCCGCAACGAGCGCAACCCUCGUUCUAUGUUGCCAGCACGUGAUGGUGGGGACUCAUAGGAGACUGCCGGGGUCAACUCGGAGGAAGGUGGGGAUGACGUCAAAUCAUCAUGCCCCUUAUGUCUUGGGCUUCACGCAUGCUACAAUGGCCGGUACAGAGGGUUGCGAUACUGUGAGGUGGAGCUAAUCCCUAAAAGCCGGUCUCAGUUCGGAUUGGGGUUCUGCGAACUCGACCCCCAUGAAAGUUCGGAGUCGCUAGUGAAUCGCGGAUCGGGCAAACGCUGCGGUGAAUACGUUUCCCGGGC